CAGUCGCCACGGUAAUACAGAGGGUGCGAGCGUUAAUCGGAUUUACUGGGCGUAAAGCGUGCGUAGGCGGCUAAUUGAGUCGGAUGUGAAAUCCCCGAGCUUAACUUGGGAAUUGCAGUGGAUACUGGGUCACUAGAGUGUGGUAGAGGAUAGUGGAAUUUCCGGUGUAGCAGUGAAAUGCGUAGAGAUCGGAAGGAACAUCUGUGGCGAAGGCGACUAUCUGGGCCAACACUGACACUGAGGCACGAAAGCGUGGGGAGCAAACAGGAUUAGAUACCCCCGUAGUCCCUGUCUCUUAUAC
rnacentral:rRNA from 1 species